rnacentral:rRNA from 1 species
AUUGAACGCUGGCGGCAUGCUUUACACAUGCAAGUCGAACGGUAACAGGCCGCAAGGUGCUGACGAGUGGCGAACGGGUGAGUAAUGCAUCGGAACGUGCCCAGUCGUGGGGGAUAACGCAGCGAAAGCUGUGCUAAUACCGCAUACGAUCUAUGGAUGAAAGCGGGGGACCGUAAGGCCUCGCGCGAUUGGAGCGGCCGAUGUCAGAUUAGGUAGUUGGGGGGGUAAAGGCCUACCAAGCCGACGAUCUGUAGCUGGUCUGAGAGGACGACCAGCCACACUGGGCAUGGGAAACGGCCCAGACUCCUACGGGAGGCAGCAGUGGGGAAUUUGGGACAAUGGGCGCAAGCCUGAUCCAGCAAUGCCGCGUGCAGGAAGAAGGCCUUCGGGUUGUAAACUGCUUUUGUACGGAACGAAACGGUCCGGGUUAAUACCCUGGGCUAAUGACGGUACCGUAAGAAUAAGCACCGGCUAACUACGUGCCAGCAGCCGCCGUAACAC